AGUUUUUAAUUUUAACUCUAUUUGUUGUGAUAUCUUAGCAUUAUUUUACUGUUUUUAUAUUUAUUUUUUGUAAAAUGUUUUAAUUUAUUUUGUUUUUUUUUUGAGAUAUCAAAAAUUUGGUUUUUGAACUGGAUUAGUACCCAGGUAAUCAAAGUUUAUUAAUUCGGGAGUAAAGUUUUGUUUAAACCGAAAAAAUAUUGACUGACCUUGGAUUUUUCUUUGGAACAUGUGUUUUUAUUGGAGAGCCCUCUUUUUUGGUAAAUUUUGUUGGCACAUGUAUGAUUGUUUAGUUUUUAUUUUAUAUUGUAAUGCUUUUGUUUUGGCUUUUAAAACAGAUAUAUAUUUGGCUUAUAAAUUUAUUUUUCAUGUGUUACUAUUAUAAAUUUUUUUUGGAUUAAUUUUUUAUUUUUUUUUGAAAUUGGAAAAGAAAGUAAUUUUUUCCUUGAUGUUAUAAUGAAUUUGAUAAA
rnacentral:rRNA from 1 species